ensembl:lncRNA
GCCAUCCAGAAGCAGAGCUGCUGGUCCCCCCACGGCAGGAUUCAUACAUUCUAAACACUCUGGGCUCAAUUUGCCAGAGUCAUUCUUGGCGGGGGGCUGGUGGGAGUUGGGGUAGGAGGUCAGGCUCACACAAAGCAUCCACCCAAGCCCUUUGGAGAAAGGGAAGAUGCCUGCUGUGGACUGUGGGCAGGUAGACACUUCUGCAGACACUCAGAGAGUGAAUGAGGGGAAGUGGCCUGGCAGAAUUCAUGAGACCUUAACCAAGGACGGAAUGAGGGACUGGUCACUUAGACUGAUAUUUCAGGUCUUUGGGUUAUGAUGUGGACAGAGGCCAUUGUUCUUCAAAGGAGCACGUCUUUCAUGUAUUCAGUCUCAGGUGGGAGCUCAAGACACAUGAAGACACUGGAACAGCUGCAGGAACUUGGGGGCGGGGGAGGAAAAAGGGUCAGAGGGACAGGCGAGGUUGGCAGAGGGUUACUACGGUGCAGUAAGUCCCCUACAUAGGAACCUUCAAGUUGUGAACUUUCAAAGACGCGAAUGUGCAUUCCAUCAACAUCAGGCGUGAGUGAAACUGUGGCUUGCCCUCCACCUCCUCUUGCUGACGAUCCUUUAACUCUACCGUCUCCCGCCUCCUCUCCCUCCUCCAGUCAGUAACGCUUCCUGCCUGUUCACUGGAUGCCAGCUCCUGUAUGCCAGCUGUUGUACUGCACUACUGGACUUUCAAGAAUUUCCCUGGGCUAGUGGUAGCCUGCCUAAGGACUGAUUGUUCCUGACUGCAUUCUCUGCCUGUGCCCUCUUCAUUCUGCACAAACUCCCUCUCUGUAGGGAAUGAGAAUGGGAGGAGGUGAGUGUUGCUGCUCACAUUAGGACCCUCCAGUUGGUCUACUGUGAGGAGGCAAACCAAGGCGAUUUUCUGACUUUUCUUUAAGGAGAUAGCUAGGGUUGGCUGUCACUGUCCAGGCAUUGGCUCAAUUUAUUUUGCCUGUGAUUAGAUAUGAUAUUUGUUUGAGAUCCUUUCAACAAACAUUGAUUAAGCACUAUUAUAUGCUAGGGUUUCUGCUCAGUGCUUUGCGUCAGAGAUGAAUAAAACAUGGCUAGUGACUUUAGGUAAGUUACAUUCUAGCUUCCUUAUCAGCCAAGUUCCAGUCAAGAGAAAGAAUUUGGUAUUGGAAAUUUGUUAAAUGGGUGAUAGACCACUGCAAACAGAAAAGGGAGCCUUGAAAUGAUAGACAGUGGAUGCAGGAAGCAGCUCAAGACUUUAGGGCUGUGGAAACAAAGGGAGGAACAGAGUCUGUGGAACGGGGGUCUGGGACUUGGAACUGAGGCUGCGUUUCUCUAGUGGAUACUCUGAGGGGCCUGAUGAGGCUGGCUCUGGGAGUUGGGUAAAAGGUGAUAACUCAUUGCAACAGUCAUUUCCAAGGGGAAGGGGCACCAUAAAUGAUGCUGACAAGAAACAGGAAGUAGACAGGAAGGAACAAGUCCCUUCCUUGUCUCUUUCUAAUGUCCUCUACCGGCAAAACCUAACAGAAAGCAACUGCCAAAGGAGAAAUGUCGGCCAGGGCUGACAGUGGAGACAAAUGCAAACAAAUCAGUCCUUCCAGGAGGGAGUCCAGGGUGAGCCUAGGCUGGAAUUGAGACACCUUGGAGCAUGUUGCAAGCUGGAUUUCCAGAAGCUGAUUUGUAUGCCCCUGUCUCAGAGCCUUUGCCCUAUCUAUUUUUUCUGUCAUGGCAUGCUUUUUCCCAGACAUGCCUUUUUUUCAGUUUUUCAACCCUCUGCCCCAGUGUCACUUCCGUUUGGUUGUAAUUGCAACCUCCUACUCUUUUAUUGUGCCCUAUUUUCCCCUAAAUUAUUAUCACCAUGUUAUAUAAAUGUUGUGUUUAGUUGCUAAGUCAUGUCCAACUCUUUUGUGACCCCGUAGCUUGUAGCCCACCAGGCUCCUCUUUCUAUGGAAUUCUCCAGGCAAGAAUACUGGAGUGGGUUGCCAUUUCCUUCUCCAAGGAAUCUUCUUGACCCAAGGAUGGAACCCACGUCUCCUGCUUGGCAGGCAGAUUCUUUACCACUGAACCAUCAGGGAAAUAAAUAUUAAAUUAUAAUAAACAUUUAUCAUCAUAUUAAAUAAAUUAAUAUAUUAAAUUGUAACAAAUGCAACAUAUUUAUUUAUUCCUUUAUUGUUUAUUUCCUUCUCCUCUCAUCCCCUGCCCUUCCUAUUAGAAUGCAAAUUCCACAAGGAGCUUUUGUCUCUUGUUUACGGAUGGAUCUAGAACUGUAUGCUCUCUGGAUAUCUGUUGAAUGAACAAAUGAAUCAACGCAUGCUUGGUUGAGGAGGAAUAAGAAAGUUGUAUAGGGCAAAAGGCUAAUAAGACUGAUAUAAGGGUACUUUCCUGGUGGUGUAGUGAUUAGGUCUCCAUGAUUCCACUGCAGAGGGUAUGCAUUUGAUCACUGGUCUGGGAACCAAGAACCCGCAUGCUGCAGGGCCGCAAAAACUAAACCAAAAAAGACUAUUUAAAAAGACUAACAAGGACAGUAUGCUGUCUUUGACAUAUUGAUUUCUGUUCUACGGAGAGAGAGCAGUUGCAAGAAGAAAAUGAAGACAGUGUUUGACAAAGUAUAUUUGCUAAGAUGGGUUUCAGCAGUGCAACUUUGUGUUUAGGGGAUAGAGUGAGACCUGAGUGGGAGACAACAUUGGCAAGUACCUCCACAGCGGUGCCUCAAGGCUUAGCAUCUUAGAUGACAGAUGUAGACAGGUUCCUUGGCCCAGGGUAGCAGCAAUGUCUCAGAAAUUAUUUUAUAUACAUUUAUCUCUCUUGGAGUGAAUACUAAACAGAGUGUGGAG